UACGUAGGGGGCAAGCGUUGUCCGGAUUUAUUGGGCGUAAAGAGCGUGUAGGCGGCCAUGCAGGUCAGCUGUGAAAACUCGAGGCUCAACCUCGAGACGUCGGUUGAAACCGUAUGGCUAGAGUCCGGAAGAGGAGAGUGGAAUUCCCGUUGUAGCGGUGAAAUGCGCAGAUAUCGGGAAGAACACCCGUGGCGAAGGCGGCUCUCUGGGACGGUACUGACGCUGAGACGCGAAAGCGUGGGGAGCGAACAGG
rnacentral:rRNA from 1 species